rnacentral:misc_RNA from 1 species
AAAAGAUAUCGCAAAAAUGAAAUAAAGUCUGCAUUUUCAGAGGAAAUAACAUUUCCAAAUAUAUAUUAUUUAAUAAGUGUUUUCAUCAAGUACCAAAAUUGUCAACGAAAAAAAAAAUGAAUAAAAAAUCAAACAUCAUGACUACUGAUGAAAAAAGAAAAAUAUUCCUUUCUUCAAAGUUAAGCUAAAAACUCUAUUCUUUGUGAAAUAGCAUAAAAAAAUUUUAUUAAUUUUAGAGCUUGCAAACACUAAUGAAGUUUUUAAUAAUUAAUGAUAGAAUGAGAGUAAAUGAGAAUGCCGUUACUACUGCUAUUAAGGACACAGUUGGAAACGGAAAUGUUGAUAAAAAGGAAAAAUAAAAGGAUUAGAAAUCAUGAAGUAUUCAUUUUUAAUCCUUUUGCGAAAGCAUAUCCCUUUACCAAGAGCUCUCAACUGGAAAACUUAGCUCCAAAGCUUUAAUCACAACUUUUUUAACUCCAUUUUUAUAUUAUAAUUAUUAAAUAAGCUUGAUUGUCUGCUUUAUUAUGAUGGUUAAAAAAACUCACGUUUGUUUACUUUAAACUCAUUGUAGUAAACAGUUAUUAUCAUUAUCAAGUGACAAUUGUAAAUGAUUUGUUUGUUGUAAUACGAAGUAGUGGCUGCAUUUUUCAGACUAUUUCUAUCUGUUUAUUCCGUCCCUAAUUAAAGGCGUCAACACUACUCACAGCUGAGCUUUUAAACACUGAUAAUAAUUAGACAAAAAAAAGAUUCUACGCUUUAUAUCUAAAAAAGCGAUAAAAUAUAUAUAUAGAUAAUAUAGAUAUUUUGAGAUUUCACUGCACAUUACGAGAAUACCAUUCUAUUUGACAUAUCUGAAAAUAUGAAACAAGCAUAUCUUUAAAAGGAACCAUAUCAAACAAUAUUAGAACAGCUAACGACAAUUACUUACUGACUCCAGAAUUUAUAGACUAUCAUAGGCAUCGAGUACAUCUCUUAACCAUAACUACACUUUUGUUUAAAAACCAUCAUACAAGCCCAAAUCUAGAAAAUAGCAGGAUCUUACUUCAAUGUAGAUGAAAUGUUGGUGUCAAAGCACAAAACAUCAAGGCAUCUGUUGAAGUUGAUGGUGCUACAUUUCCAUUUACAAAUAAAGAGCUAAUUCAUAUUGAAUUCUGUAAUAAAUUAUAUAAUUAGCCAGUCAAGAACCAUGAAGCCUUUAGAUGUCAAGAAACGUUCAUCAACUAUCGUAACUGGAUUCAUUGUAUUCUGCUAAGUACCAUGUACCAACCCACUCGGACCAUAAUAGAUUGUGACAACCGGGUGGUGCUUAACAUCGGUGGAAUACGUUUCGAGACGUACAAAGCCACCCUCAAGAAAAUUCCAGCUACUCGUUUAUCCAGAUUGACUGAAGCUCUCGCCAACUAUGAUCCAGUUCUUAAUGAGUACUUCUUUGAUAGGCACCCGGGUGUCUUUGCCCAGAUUCUAAACUAUUAUCGUACUGGAAAGCUACACUAUCCAACCAACGUGUGUGGGCCACUCUUUGAAGAGGAGCUUGAGUUUUGGGGACUCGACGCCAACCAGGUAGAGCCUUGCUGUUGGAUGACGUACACCGUUCACAGGGAUACGCAAUCUACACUAGCAAUACUCGACAACUUGGACUUGGAUGCUGAGAAACCGAGUGAUGAAGAACUGGCGAGGAAAUUUGGCGUAGAGGAGCAGUAUCUUGCUGGAAAAAUGAACUGCUGGCAAAAAAUCAAACCAAGGAUCUGGCUCUUGUUUGAUGAACCUGCAUCUUCAAUAGCUGCAAAGGUAGUCGCUGUAGUAUCUGUGUUUUUCAUUUGUGUGUCCAUAGUAACAUUUUGCUUAAAGACUCAUCCUAAUAUGCGGGUUCCGGUUAUAGUGAACAGGACGAUUCACCAGCCACCUAAUGGUACUAUACUUUGGACGUUGGAUAAAACGAAAACAGAAGCACAUGAAGCCUUUUAUUAUGUUGAAAGCGUUUGCAAUGCCUGGUUUUCUUUUGAGAUAGUUUGUAGGUUUUUAGUGAGCCCUAAGAAAAUGGAAUUCAUGACAGCUCCCAUCAACAUCAUUGAUUUCAUUGCCACCAUGUCUUUCUACUCAGAUAUGCUCUUACAGAGACUUGCAUCAGAUCUCGAAAAAGCAGAUAUUUUAGAUUUUUUCAGUAUCAUUCGAAUUUUCAGGCUUUUCAAACUGACUCGGCACUCUCGCGGACUCAAGAUCCUCAUCCACACUUUCCAGGCGAGUGCCAAAGAACUCUUCCUGCUCGUCUUCUUCCUCGUUCUGGGUAUUGUCAUCUUUGCCUCUCUCGUCUACUACGCCGAAAGGCUUCAGGCCAAUCCUAACAACGAUUUCACCAGCAUACCAGAGGGACUAUGGUGGGCCAUCGUCACCAUGACCACAGUGGGAUACGGGGAUAUGGUGCCUAGGACAUACGUGGGCAUGUUGGUGGGUGCAUUGUGUGCCCUUGCCGGCGUGCUUACCAUCGCCCUCCCUGUACCAGUAAUAGUGUCUAAUUUCACGAUGUUCUAUUCGCACACUCAGGCUCGUGAAAAACUGCCCAAGCAGAGAAGAAGAGUCCUGCCCGUAGAGCAAGUGAGGGUGAGGCCCCUGAGGCCCGGAGGCGCUGCCGGGGGUGGACUCCAUCACAGAAGAAUGAAUGCCAUUAAACAUCACCAUCCUGCUGCACUCAAGGAUUACAGUAACAAAACAGGGUCAAGUGGAGACGUUCGGUUGUAAAAACGACUUCUUUGAUUUUCUUGGUUUGUAAUUAUAGAAAAUUGCUGGAGAUGUUGAAUAAGUCGAAAUGAUGUUCAUAAAAGAUUCGUUUUAGUGAAGAGGAAUUCUGAAUUGGUAACAACGCUAAUGGAAUGAAUUCAUUGUCUGGAAUACCCCGUCUCGGAAGUAUUUCAAACCCAGGUGCAGCAUUUGGUGUAGCCGGAGCUGUAAUGUCCGGCCUUCCCUCACUUGCUUCAGCAGCAAAC